GAUGCUGAAACUGGAAACAAUAUUAUCUUUUAUUACUUUGUUCUCAGUAAUGAAAAAACAGGGGUGGUCCCUUUUAUCUUUAAGAAAAUUUGAAAACACUGUUUAUGAUAUUUGAAGUCAUGUAAUUAGUGCAUUUCUAAUGUUAUGAUUACAUUUUCAAUUCACUGAACUUAUCAUCCACUGAUUCAAGAAAUUUAAACAUAAACAUUGAGAUGGACUAUACACUGUUUAAGCUCAUUUGCUGAUAAGCUGACAAUGCAUGGAGGUAAAACUUGUGGUUGUGCAAUGUGUCUCCUGCAUGGAUCAAUAUCUUUCUGCUAAUGUAUGUAGUAGUUACUGAUAAUCUGACAAUGUAUGUAGUAGUUACCGCCUAUCAUAGGUGACAAUGUAUGUAGUAGUUACUGCCUAUCAUAGGUUCCCGUUCAAUAAAUAUUAUGGAAGAAGUAUAAAUAAUCAAAUGGAGUGUUACUUCUGUAGCAUAUUUUGAGUUUUCAUGGCACUACCCUUUUUUUUCUGUCGGAUUAAAAUUGUCAAUUAUCAUUUCUUGACCAGUGAUCACAUUGCCUUCUGGUCACGGUCUAUCUACCACAAAAGAUUGUCCAUUCUUGUUGUUGGUUCAACCUAGUUGUGGAGAACAGAAGUAUGAGUAACUUUUAGAAGAUAUGUUCAUGCGAUUCAAGGCAGCUCUUUGCCAGUCCAUGUUUUGUUGCAUAUAGCAAUCUAUGGAUCUUUAGUUAGGGGCUUAGGGCUAGACGAAAUGAGUAUGAUAAUGGCUGUAAUCAUACAGAAGCACUUAAAAGUUUCCCAAUUUUUUGGUUAGUUUCCAAAGGCAUUCCAUUUGGUUGGUACACCUUUAAGUAUAAUUCUUUCAUAUUAUUAGUUUCAUUAUCUUUUGUGUGUACCCUGUGUAUUUGCCUGUGCAUGUUGUGCAUCAUUGUUCUUUUCUCAUUUUGAUGUUCCAUAAUGCAAGUUCAUUUUGCUAUAGCUUUCAGCUGCUGUAAUAUAUGUUUUAUAUAUCUCAGGCAUAGGGAAAGCUUGUUUUCUUCAUUAAAUUACAGUGCGUGAGGUUGUGUUGCAUUCCCCUCCUGAGUCCUUACUCUUGUGCACUUUCGUUCAAAAGAGUUUGUUGAUUAAUAACAGAUGAUUCUUUAGAGUUUGGAGUAAUACAAGUAAUUAUGUAGUGGCUAAUGAGAAUCAGAGUUUAGUUGAUAUGCAACAACUCUUCAGAUUGAAGAUGUGUGAAGGUGAAAUUCUUUUUUUUUAACUCGCAAGAACAAGAAAUUUUGUCAAGCUAAUUCACAAGUUCACCAUGAGCAUAAUAGUUCAAAUGCAAACGUGCUGCAUGGAAUGAUGAUAUCCGUGUGCAUCUCUUUUGUGUGUUGGUAUUAAUACAUGGAAAGAACACAUGUUGAUGGUUACAUGGGUUUUGUGAGGGAAGAAAAAUAUCAAUUGGAUAGACAUUAAACAAUUUACAGUAGUAGCUCCGCGGCAUGCAACCAUUGUUAUUUACUGUCAGCUUGCGUUCGGUCAGUCAGUCCUGAUUGAAGAUGUCAUGUUUCCAACCAUGAUGUUUCAACCACAGGUACCUUUGGGAGGAGGCAGAUGCAGAAACCCUUCGAGGACGCCACAUAUGCCCUCAAGGUUGGUGAGCUCAGCGACAUCGUGGACACUGACAGUGGGGUUCACAUCAUCCUGCGGACUGCCUGAGGAGGGGAUCACACUGUCCUCUCAGGCUUUCAGUUAGUGCUUAUGGCGUUCUGUUAGAACCUGUAUUUGUAUUCCUGCUGGGAGCCUGAGUUCCAUUCCGUGCAAAGAUAAAUCAUGUGUGACGACACGUUUGCAACAGCAUUUAUGCUUAAACUGCAUUAAUGAUGAUGCGUUGAGCUCCUGAAUGCCUAGUUUUUCUGGCGACAGUAUAUUUGUCUGCUUCUGAUUAUAAUUCCUGGCCUCGACG
rnacentral:lncRNA from 1 species